AUCACUUCUCAGCCUUUUGGCUAAGAUCAAGUACAGUAUCUGUUUUUAUCCGUUUAAUAUCUGGUGUGUCCUCUAUCUGAGGACAAUACAUUAAAUGGAUCAUUUGGAACUAGGAGAUGGAAUUGGAGCUUGCUCCGUCUACUCCAUGCAUCGAGCUGGUACUGCAGUACUUCCAGGAACAGUGCACCAAAA